GCCGGGCUGACGGAAUGGCAGACGUUCGGGACUUAAAAUCCCGUGGGGAUUUUCCUCGUGUGGGUUCGAAUCCCACGCCCGGCACCA
rnacentral:tRNA from 1 species